rnacentral:rRNA from 1 species
UACGGAGGGAGCUAGCGUUGUUCGGAAUUACUGGGCGUAAAGCGCACGUAGGCGGCUUUGUAAGUUAGAGGUGAAAGCCCGGGGCUCAACUCCGGAAUUGCCUUUAAGACUGCAUCGCUUGAAUCCAGGAGAGGUGAGUGGAAUUCCGAGUGUAGAGGUGAAAUUCGUAGAUAUUCGGAAGAACACCAGUGGCGAAGGCGGCUCACUGGCCUGGUAUUGACGCUGAGGUGCGAAAGCGUGGGGAGCGAACAGG